ACACUGUUCAUGGGUUACCGCGGCUGCUGGCACGGAGUUAGCCGGUGCUUCUUCUGUGAGUGAUGUCCUUCCUGCCGGCUAUUAACCCGCAGGCCUUCUUCCUCACUGAAAAGUGCUUUACAACCCGAAGGCCUUCUUCACACACGCGGCAUGGCUGGAUCAGGGUUGCCCCCAUUGUCCAAUAUUCCCCACUGCUGCCUCCCGUAGGAGUCUGGGCCGUGUCUCAGUCCCAGUGUGGCUGAUCAUCCUACUACAGACCAGCUACGGAUCGUCGCCUUGGUGAGCCGUUACCUCACCAACCAGCUAAUCCGACAUAGGCUCAUCCGAUAGCGCGAGGCCCGAAGGUCCCCCGCUUUCCCCCGUAGGGCGUAUGCGGUAUUAGCCUGGGUUUCCCCAGGUUAUCCCCACUACCGGGCAGAUUCCUAUGCAUUACUCACCCGUCGCCGCUCGCCACCAGGGAGCAAGCUCCCCGUGCUGCCGCUCGACUUGCAUGUGUUAGGCCUGCCGCCAGCGUUCAAU
rnacentral:rRNA from 1 species